GCCAGACUCCUACGGGAGGCAGCAGUGGGGAAUAUUGCACAAUGGGGGAAACCCUGAUGCAGCGACGCCGCGUGAGUGAAGAAGUAUUUCGGUAUGUAAAGCUCUAUCAGCAGGGGAGAAAAUGACGGUACCUGACCAAGAAGCCCCGGCUAACUACGUGCCAGCAGCCGCGGUAAUACGCAGGGGGCAAGCGUUAUCCGGAUUUACUGGGUGUAAAGGGAGCGUAGACGGCUGUGCAAGUCAGAAGUGAAAGCCCGGGGCUCAACCCCGGGACUGCUUUUGAAACUGCGUGGCUGGAGUGCAGGAGAGGUAAGCGGAAUUCCUGGUGUAGCGGUGAAAUGCGUAGAUAUCAGGAGGAACACCAGUGGCGAAGGCGGCUUACUGGACUGUAACUGACGUUGAGGCUCGAAAGCGUGGGGAGCAAACAGGAUUAGAUACCCUUGUA
rnacentral:rRNA from 1 species